rnacentral:tRNA from 2 species
GGGCGAGUAGCUCAGCUGGUUAGAGCGUACGAUUCACAUUCGUAAGGUCACAGGUUCGAUCCCUGUCUCGCCCA